GAUGAACGCUAGCGAUAGGCUUAACACAUGCAAGUCGAGGGGCAGCAUUUUGAUAGCAAUAUUAAAGAUGGCGACCGGCGCACGGGUGAGUAACACGUAUGCAACCUACCCAUAACAGGGGGAUAGCUCGUCGAAAGGCGAAUUAAUACUCCAUAAUACAGGGGUCCCGCAUGGGAAUAUUUGUUAAAGGUUAAUUCCGGUUAUGGAUGGGCAUGCGUUCCAUUAGGUAGUUGGUGAAGGUAACGGCUCACCAAGCCUGCGAUGGAUAGGGGACCUCGGCGGUUUGUCCCCCACACUGGUACUGAGACACGGACCAGACUCCUACGGGAGGCAGAAGUGAGGAAUAUUGGUCAAUGGUCGGGAGAUUGAACCAGCCGAGUCGCGUGAAGGAUGAAGGUAUUAUGUAUUGUAAACUUCUUUUGUAAGGGAAUAAAGUUCGGGACGUGUCCUGUUUUGUAUGUACCUUACGAAUAAGGAUCGGCUAACUCCGUGCAAGCAGCCGCCGUAACAC
rnacentral:rRNA from 1 species